rfam:Canis lupus familiaris chromosome 15, whole genome shotgun sequence.
CCAAAGAUUUUUUUUAAAACCAUAUAUAGACCCAUGCAAAAUGUAU